AUGAAGUACCGUUGACUCCAGCUCCAGGAUACCUACUGCCCCUUCAUGCCUCAGUGGUACCCGAACACAAUGCAUACAUAUACACAGACAUACAUAAGUAAGAAUAAAAAAUACAAUCUGAUUAAGAAACAACUGAAGGGUAGCCAGGCCACCCAGUGAAGUAACCUGGGGUCAGCGCUGUGGGCAGAGCUGAGGUAUUGCAUCUAUGAACAGUAGAACACAUCAGUUUAGUAUGGUGGAUACUGUGAUUACCUACAGACUGAAGUAGCUUCAUAGUUCUUAUUUAAAAAGGGACAAUCUUCUUCAAAGGCCCUAUCAAUUGAAAGAGUAACAGACUUCAAAUGUGACUCAGGAGACAGCAACUGCCUGUUUGGAAGUUAUAUACAUUAUUUCUAGUCUCUUUUAUGGUUUUUCUAGACUUAAAAGUCAUAGCAGUAACUUCAAAGUCUUUUAAAAAUAUUUAUAUUAUUUUAUGUAUAUGAGUGUUUUGCCAUAUGAUGGUGUACCACCUGUGUGUCUGGUGCCUGUGAAGGCCUGAAGAGGGUGUGGAAUCCCCAUGGUGAGCUGCCAUGUGAGUUCUGGGAGCCAAACCUAGGACCUUUGCAAGAGUAAUUAAAUGCUUCAUUUUUGACUCUUAUUCCUUAAUCAUACUUUAAAUACCAAUACUGAUAACAUUGUUUUAAUCAGAAGCAUUUCGAAGUACGGAGACCUCUAGGGUUUACUACUAUAUUUGUAAAAUCUGCAAUGUCAGAAUUAUAUUUUAUCUUGAGAGUGUAGAAGUCUUUGGUUCUCUCCACGGCCUGCCUCUCUCUCUCUCUCUCUCUCUCUCUCUCUCUCUCUCUCUCUCUCUCUCUCUCUCUCUUUCUCUCUCUCCCUCUCUCUCCCUCCCUCCCCCCCUCUCUCUGUGUGUGUGUUCUUAUGAUAGCCAAUGGUUCAUAUGAUUUCUUCAACCAUCCUCCACUUUAUUUUUGGAGACAUGAUCUUUCCUUGGAUAUGGAACUUUUGGAUUCAGUUAAAAUGGCUGGCCAGCAACUUCCAGAGAUCCUCUGGUAUGCACUUCCCCAACUCUGGGGUUACAGGUGUGGGCUGCCAUACCCAGCUUUUUUUAAAAAAUGUGGGUCCUGAGAUCCUAACUCAGGUUUUCAUGCUUCUGUGGCAACUCCUUUGCUGAGUGAGCUUUCUGAGUCAUCAUCUCAGCCCUGUAUUUGGUUCUUAAUUUUUUUAUUCAGUUGUGGUAAAAUGUGCUAAAUAUUUUACAAUUUUUACAUAUACAGUUUUGUGGUAUAACAUACAUUUAUAUUGUAUGUUAUAAUAUUUAUAUCAUAUGUUACAUUAUAUAUUAUAUUAAUUAUAUUAAUAUAAAUGUAUAUUAUAUUAUACAUUUAUAUUGUAUGUUAUAAUAUUUAUAUCAUAUGUUACAUUAUAUAUAUUAUAUUAAUUAUAUUAAUAUAAAUGUAUAUUAUAUCAUACAUUUAUAUUGUAUGUUAUAAUAUUUAUAUUGUAUGUUAUAAUGUAUAUAAUAUACAUUAUAUUGUUGAGAAACCACAUAUCUUUUUCCUAGCUAUUGGCAUAUACCAUUAUUUUUUGUCUUAGUGAAUUUGACUUUUGCUACCUUUGGAAUUAUGCAGUAUCGUCUUUUUAAUUUUUGCAGUGCUGUAGAUUGAAUCCAAAGCUUUAUAUGCAUCCUAGGCAAGCAUUCUACCUACAGGACUGCAUCCUGAGCCCCACAAUGUUUAUGCUUUAGUGACUGUUGUCUUCAGGGCUCUUUUUGGCAAGUGUUAGAAUUUUUUCAUUUUGAAGACUGAAUUAUAUUUUGUUGUUAAUAUAUAAUACUUAUAUUUAAAUAAUUUAAACUACAUUGUGUGGGUGUGUGUGCACACAAGCAUGUAUGCCUUCAUGCAUGUGGAGAUCAGAGGACAUUUUUGUAAUGUCAAAUCUCUCUCUACCAUGUGAUUCUCAGGCCAUCAAGCUUGGUGGCAUGCACCUUUACCCCACGGAACUAUCUGAUUGGGCUACCAUAUUUAGCUUCAUUGCUCAUCUCUUGAUAGAUUUUGGGUUGCAUAUGUCUAUGGAUAUUAAAAAGUAAUGCUGCUGUUUCAUCAUAGUUUUAGUGCCUUAAGAAAUUUGGACUCUGUUCCUGAUGGGUAUAAAGUUCUGGUGGACUCGGGCUGGGACUGUGAACUGGUCUCAGAGGCUAGAGAGUACACAUGCAAUCAAAAGUAGGCCAAAGGCUGUUUUGGGGAAUGUGGUGGGAAGACAAGAAGGGAAGUUUGUUUAACUUUAUGGAGGCUAUUUUUGAAAUAUGAGGGAAUUAGCCUGAGAAAAUGGGGAAAUCUAUUGCAAGAGAACAUAGAGAAGAGUGUAAAUGUAUAGUUAGGAGUAGGGAAGGGUUAACAAUGAGACUACUAAGGCAGAUCAGGUCUGCUAGGGAAGGAACUUUUUUGCCAUAUACACUAGUCAUAAAGAAAGAAAAGAAAAGCUGAUUUAUGAAUACAUCAAACAGUCAUUUAAUUUAAAACGUAAAAGGUGAAAGGAUUAGGGUCGAAAGGACCUUCUCAUCCUGGGUUCCCUCUGUCCUCUUAGGAAAGCAAGACCAUAGGAAACAGUGUUUUAGGAGUGCUUGGAGAGAGUUUAGGUACAUGUCAGAAAUAUAGUCUCCUUGUCAUACUGUCUUAGUCCAACUUUUCCACCGUCAUAUUUUAUAGAAUACUUAUUAGUACUUAGAACUCUAUGAGUUUGAGGCCAGCCUAGUCUAGGUCAAGUUCCAGGACAAGGAGGGCCGGCCGUAUAAAAAGAUACUUGUCUU
rnacentral:lncRNA from 1 species